AAUCAACGCUGGCGGCGUGCCUAACACAUGCAAGUCGAGCGAGAAAGUGGAGCAAUCCAUGAGUAAAGCGGCGCACGGGUGAGUAACACGUGACUAACCUACCCUCGAGUGGGGAAUAACCUGGGGGAACCCGGGCUAAUACCGCAUAACACCAACGGGUCAAAGGAGCAAUUCGCUUGAGGAGGGGGUCGCGGCAGAUU
rnacentral:rRNA from 1 species